GGGGUCUUGGCGCAGCGGUAGCGCGUAUGCUUUGCACCUUCUGUGUCCACUUGCAUAAGGUCGUGGGUUCAAGCCCCACAGGCUCCA